GGGGGGGGCGGGGGGGGGGGCGGGGGGGGGGGGGGGGGGCGGGCGGGCGGGGGGGGUGCGGCGCGGCGGGUAGCGGGGGACGGGUGAGUAAGACGGGGGUAACCUACCUAUAAGACUGGGAUACCUGCGGGAAACCGGAGCUAAUACCGGCGAAUAUUUUGAACCGCCUGGUUCAAAAGUGAAAGACGGUCUUGCUGUCACUUAUAGAUGGAGCCGGGCUGCAUUGGCGAGUUGGUAAGGUAACGGCUUACCAAGGCAACGAUGCAUAGCCGACCUGAGAGGGUGAGCGGCCACACUGGAACUGCGACACGGUCCAGAAUCCUACGGGAGGCAGCAGUAGGGAAUCUUCCGCAAUGGGCGAAAGCCUGACGGAGCAACGCCGCGUGAGUGAUGAAGGUCUUCGGAUCGUAAAACUCUGUUAUUAGGGAAGAACAUAUGUGUAAGUAACUGUGCACAUCUUGACGGUACCUAAUCAGAAAGCCACGGCUAACUACGUG
rnacentral:rRNA from 1 species